CCUACGGGAGGCUGCAGUCGAGAAUUUUUGGCAAUGGGCGAAAGCCUGACCAAGCGAUGCCGCGUGCGGGAUGAAGGCCUUCGGGUUGUAAACCGCUGUCAGUGGGGAGGCCUAUCUGCGGAGGAAGUGUGGGCUAAGUUCGUGCCAGCAGCCGCGGUACGACGAACCACACGAACGUUCUUCGGAAUUACUGGGCUUAAAGGGUGCGUAGGCGGCGUGGUAAGUUGGGUGUGAAAUCCCUCGGCUCAAACGAGGAACUGCGCCCAAAACUACCAUGCUUGAGGAAGAUAGAGGUAAGCGGAACUUACGGUGGAGCGGUGAAAUGCGUUGAUAUCGUAAGGAACACCUGUGGCGAAAGCGGCUUACUGGGUUUUCUGACGCUGAUGCACGAAAGCCAGGGGAGCAAACGGGAUUAGAUACCCUUGUAGUC
rnacentral:rRNA from 1 species